rnacentral:lncRNA from 1 species
GGGGACCCGGCGUCCCGUGGCGGAAAGAGGGCUCCGCGAGCGACUGAAGACGUGGGUACAGAGAACAGUAAUUAUCAUACGAAGAGCAAGAAAGGCAAAGAAAAUCCUUUUCGUUUUCAAUUGGGCAAUUAAGCAGAAACUGCAAAUUAUAGUAUGAAGAAGGGAGGGGGAAGAACAAGCCGGAUCAGAAGACGAAAACGCUUUGGGAAUGCUGAAUCAAGAGGAGGUAUAGUUUUGGAUCUUUUUUUCUUUCUUUCUUUUUGGUCUUUUUAGGGUCAUACCCAUGACAUAUGGAGGUUCCCAGGCUAGGGGUUGAAUUGGACCUGCAGCUGCUGGCCUACGCCACAGCCCCAGCAACACUGGAUCCGAGGCUUAUCUGUGACCUACACCACAGUUCAUGGCAACGCUGGGUCCUUAACCCACUGAGCGAGGCCAGGGAUCAAACCCACAUCCUCAUGGAUACUAGUUGGGUUCAUUACCACUGAGCCACGAUGGGAACUCCCCAGUUUUGCUUCUUUUGAUGCCAGUGAUGAUAAAAGGAAUCCUUGGUUGUAUGGUAUUAGUGGACACACAAAGCUUUUCUCAAAGGCACAGUGGGCAGAGUUCAUAGAGGAUGUUUCUUAAAUAAUAUUCUUUUUAGUAGUGCCAUUAUGUAUUUUUAAACUCUUGUAGGAAUACAGCUAUCAAUAUUUGGGUAUAAAUUUGUCAUUUCAAGUUCAGUGUAACCCAAUCUGAAUGAGAUACUAUAUGUGAAAGUGCUUGGCCAGCUGGAGAGUACUACAUAAAUGCAGUUGUGAUUAUUAUUUUCUCUUUGGGCUGCCUUGUGGCAUAUGGAGCAACUUUGUUAUUUUUGGUAAAAAUGAAUCACACUGCUCCUAGAGGGCCCCCAGCGUGUUCAUGCCAACACCUCCGGCUGUUUAUCCUUCGUUGCCUGCUGUAGCCCAUGUCCUACUCACUCUUGCCUGGCCUUUCUUACGUUAACUUCUCCCUCCUUGUCCUGGCCAGAGAUGAUUUCAGCUGAUGUAAUGCUCUUUGCUGGUUUACCACAUCCUUGUUUUUCUUCCCUGCUCCCUUCUGGUGGUUCCGUUUAUCACCGUCAGCCCAACUUUCCCAAGGGACUGUCGUCAGUUAGUCUUCUUGGUUUAGGAAACUCCAGGGAUGCUCAUUCCAUUUUGUGUGAUAUUCAAACUCCUGCCCAACAUCAACUCCCUUUCUUUUUUCUUUUUUGGCCAUGCCUGUGGCAGGAGGAAUCUUCCAGGCCAGGGAUCGAACCCACGCUACAGCAGUGACCUGACCCACAGCAGUGACAAUGCUGGAUCCUUAACCUGCUGCACCACAAGGGAACUCCUGCCCCAUUUUAACCGUUUUUAAGUGUAGUUCAGUACAUUUACAUUGCCGUGCAACCCAUCUCCAGGAUUCUUUUCAUCUUGCAAAACUGGAACUCUAUACCGUUGAAUAAUAACUCCUCAUUGCCCUCUCCCCUGAGCCCCUGGCAGCCACCAUCCUACUUUUUGUUUCCCUGAACUUGACUGUCCCAGAUACCUCAUGUAAGUGGAAUCAUGCAGUAUUAUUCUUUUUGUGAAUGGCUUACUUCACUUUCAUUAAUGCUCUGAGGAUUCAUCUAUGAAGUGUGUGGCAUCUGGAUUGGUUCCUGCUGAGAGCUGUGAGAGAGGGGUCUGUCCUAGGUCUCUCUCUCUGGCUUUGUAGAUGUCUGUCUUCU